rnacentral:lncRNA from 1 species
GUCAUUCGCGUAUUAGUAAAUAUAUUUUGUAUUAAUAGGAAUGUUAAUGAAUAUCAAAAAAGAGUUUAGUUUUUGUAUUAACAUAUGGUAAAGAUUAAUUACGUUCAACAUAAACAAAAAUUAACGAAUAUCUUUUGUAUUGAUAAAUGGUAACUAUUAACCAUUCAAAAACAAAAACAAAAACAAGAAAACUGUACAAAAAGUCAUAUCUUUUGUCUAACAUUUGUGAUAUAACUGUUUCUAAAAAAAAAAAUUGGGAGAAAAGAAUAUAAAAUUUCUAGACGACAUCCUACACUCGAGUAUUUUGACAUACAAGUAGGCCAUCGAUGCCAGAGCGUUUAGCAUAGGCUUUAGUAUUAAAAUCUUACUAGGCUGCUAAAAC